rnacentral:rRNA from 1 species
CAAGCAAGAAAGAGCACAGGGUGAAUGCCUUGGCACUGGGAGCCGAUGAAAGACGUGGUAAGCUGCGAAAAGCUUCGGGGAGGCGCAAACAGCCAUCGAUCCGGAGAUUUCU